AAACAAUUAUCGUUAAGAUCCAAGUAAUAUCAUGAUAAAUUAAAAGAUUACGGCUAUGAUCAUUGAUCAUAACUACUUAACCUAGCAAUUAAUCCAGAAACACAAAAAAGUUGCAAUUAAUAUAGUUCAUUGAAUCAAUCUAGCUAGCAAUUAAUCAACGACAACAACAGUUGAAAUCAUGUCCUUCAACUCAAUCAACA
rnacentral:lncRNA from 1 species